rnacentral:rRNA from 1 species
CCUACGGGAGGCAGCAGUGAGGACUAUUGGUCAAUGUGCUUCCGCCUGAACCCGCCAAGUCGUGUGAGGGAAGACUGCCCUCUGGGUUGUAAACCUCUUUUUUCAGGGAGCAACGCCGGCUACGUGUAGCCGUACUGAGAGUACCUGAAGCAAAAGCAUCGGCUAACUCCGUGUCAGCAGCCGCGGUAAUACGGGGGAUGCGAGCGUUAUCCGGAUUUAUUGGGUUUACAGGGUGCGUAGGCGGAAGAUCAAGUCAGCGGGAAAAGUGAGAGGCGCAACCUCUUCGAGACGUUGAAACUGGUUUUCGUGAGUGAGUGAGAAGUAUGCGGAAUGCGUGGGGUAGCGGUGAAAUGCAUAGAUAUCACGCAGAACUCCGAGUGCGAAGGCAGCAUACCGGCGCUCAACGGACGCUCAUGCACGAAAGUGUGGGUAGCGAACAGGAUUAGAUACCCCAGUAGUC